rnacentral:rRNA from 1 species
UACGUAGGGUGCAAGCGUUGUCCGGAAUUAUUGGGCGUAAAGAGCUCGUAGGCGGUUUGUCGCGUCUGCUGUGAAAACUCGGGGCUUAACUCCGGGCCUGCAGUGGGUACGGGCAGACUAGAGUGCGGUAGGGGAGACUGGAAUUCCUGGUGUAGCGGUGAAAUGCGCAGAUAUCAGGAGGAACACCGGUGGCGAAGGCGGGUCUCUGGGCCGUAACUGACGCUGAGGCACGAAGGUCAGGGGAGCAAACGGG